rnacentral:rRNA from 1 species
GUAGGGAAUCUUGCGCAAUGGGCGAAAGCCUGACGCAGCCAUGCCGCGUGAAUGAUGAAGGUCUUAGGAUUGUAAAAUUCUUUCACCGGGGACGAUAAUGACGGUACCCGGAGAAGAAGCUCCGGCUAACUUCGUGCCAGCAGCCGCGGUAAUACGAAGGGGGCUAGCGUUGCUCGGAAUUACUGGGCGUAAAGGGCGCGUAGGCGGACAGCUUAGUCAGAGGUGAAAGCCCAGGGCUCAACCUUGGAAUUGCCUUUGAUACUGGCUGUCUUGAGUUUGGGAGAGGUGAGUGGAACUCCGAGUGUAGAGGUGAAAUUCGUAGAUAUUCGGAAGAACACCAGUGGCGAAGGCGACUCACUGGCCCAAUACUGACGCUGAGGCGCGAAAGCGUGGGGAGCAAACAGGAUUAGAUACCCUAGUAGUCC